CCUGACGCAGGCCUAACCAUGCUCUCCCGUCUUCGCAGAGGGGACAGGGCGCGCCCGCCCGGGAGCCGGUGAUCAGCAGCGAGGAGCAGAAGCAGCUGAUGCUGUUCUACCACCGCCGGCAGGAGGAGCUCAAGAAACUGGAGGAAAAUGAUGACGACUCGUGUUUGAACUCUCCGUGGGCCGACAACACUGCUCUGAAAAGACAUUUUCAAGGCGUGAAGGACAUCAAGUGGAGACCAAGAUGAAGCUUCUAGAAGCCCUAGCUCACCUCUCUGUAGGCAAACAGUAACCAUAGUAACAGUGAUGACGGUGAACACAGAAGGGUGGCACAGCCCUCGUGAAAGACGUUGGGAUUUCCAGGUUUCCUAGUUUCUGAGUUUGAAUUUUUAUGAUAAAAUGUAUUAAAGGUCGUAGAACUUAAA